UUCCCGACCCUUUCUCUCUUUUCUCUCUCGAUGGAUUCGCCGAUUCACCUCAAGUCCGGAAAAAUCGUCGGCGGAUAUUGCUUCUGAUGGCCUAGAGGUCCACCGGCUAGCGAUUAGGGAAUGCCGCUGGUUUUUGUAUAAUGAGCAAGGCAUGGAAAGAUGAACAAGAAACUGAUCUGUAAUCUUCACCAGGUGUUUGCUUUUAUUCCUUACUCACAAUUUAAAUUCGUAGCUUUGGAUGUUAGUCUGAAUUGAAGGUUUGAUGUUAGUCUGAACUGAAGGUUGUUCUGUUCUUCUUGACUAUUUAGUUCUUCUGAAGAGGAUUUUGAAACUUUGUUAUGUGGUUUUCCUAAUCCGUUCUUGUGUUACUGUGCUAUGUUCCAAACUUCUGAGCAUGCCUGAUUUUUCUUCCAAGUAGAAAACGUUCUAUAUGUUUAUUUGCUCUUCAGGAAAGCAUAUGAAUAUGGCAUUAUUAUACAGUGCAGAUCAGUUAGUAUCCAUGAGAUUUCUUGUUUGCUACUGUCGGGGAACUAUAUAUUGCCAUUGCGUUAGUCGACCAGGACUAGCUAAGCAAGUCUUGGUUGGAGGAAAUGAUUGUCGCUGGUCUUCACACUAGCAAUUCCUGCUACACUGGUGAGAAUUCAAAAACUAGCAUGACUUUGAGACUGCAGAAAACUGCAGAAAACUCUUUGAUCCAAACUAGCAGAAUACUGCAGAGAACUGCAGAGAACUCUUUGAUCCAAAAAUAGACCUUCUAAGUGGUGAUGAAUUUGAGACUGCAGAAAACUUGCAUUUGCAGCUCGUUACUUCUCAAGAAAUGAAGAAUUAUCAGCUGAUGGGGUUAGUGAUGGCCAUGGACGCAAACAAGAUUCUUAAAUUCAGACAGCUGUUGAACUCUCUCAUUGAUUAACAAUGAUGAACAUCUUCUUCUUCUUCAUUAAAGAUUCAGUUGUAUCGAUUCCCGCUAGUAUGAUUCGGUUAACAUUGUACUGUGUGUAUUUCCUGCAAAAUUGUGAGGCUCUGUUUUGUGGGAAACAGUGUCUCUGUUUUCUUUUUGGUUGUUUUAUUUUUGGUGUGGAGUAUAGUUUGUCAUUGUGGAUAUAGACCAAUACAAGCUACAAUAAUAUUGAUUUCAAUGA